GCCAUGGGCCUAAAUACCCUAAAGGCAUCCAAUCCUGUCUGAUCUUGGAGGCUGAACAGGCAUUAGCCCCAGUUAGUACUUGGAUGAAAAACCACCAAGGACUACCUGGUGCUGUAGGCU
rnacentral:rRNA from 11 species